UGAAGGUGAGUUGAGAAGCUUGCUGGAGGUAUCAGAAGUGCGAAUGCUGACGUGAGUAACGACAAUGCGAGUGAAAAACUCGCACGCUGAAAGACCAAGGGUUCCAGUCCAACGUUAAUCGGGGCUGGGUGAGUCGACCCCUAAGGCGAGGCCGAGAGGCGUAGUCGAUGGGAAAUUGGUUAAUAUUCCAAUACUUCUGUGUAAUGCGAUGAGAGGACGGAGAAGGUUAAGUCAGCCUGGCGUUGGUUGUCCAGGUGGAAGGUUGUAGGCAUGUAUCUUAGGCAAAUCCGGGGUACUCUAUGCUGAGAACUGAUAGCAAGCUGUACUUGUACAGUGAAGUGGCUGAUACCAUGCUUCCAGGAAAAGUCUCUAAGCUUCAGUUACACAGGAAUCGUACCCGAAACCGACACAGGUGGUCAGGUCGAGUAGACCAAAGCGCUUGAGAGAACUCUGCUGAAGGAACUAGGCAAAAUGGUACCGUAACUUCGGGAGAAGG
rnacentral:rRNA from 1 species